rnacentral:lncRNA from 1 species
GGGAGUUGGUGACGGACAGGGAAGCCUGGCAUGCUGCAGUCCAUGGGGUCGCAGAGAGCCAGACAUGACUGAGCAACUGAACAACAAUAAAUGCUCUCUGACAUUGAUCUUAACAAUAAUUUGCUGGAUCUGUCUCCUCAGGCAAGGAAAACAAAAGCAAAAGUAAGCAAAUGGGACUAUAUCCUUUUCACACCAGAGGAAACAUCAACCAAACCACACCUAUAGAACGGGAAUAUUUGCAGAUGACAUGCCUGAUGAGGGUUAAUAUCCAAAACAUGCAAAGAACUCCUACAACUCAACAUCAAAAUAAGUAAACAACCCGAUUAAAAAGUGGGCAGAGGAUCUGAACAGACAUUUUUCCAAAAACGACACACAGACGGCCAACAGGCACGUGAAAAGGAGUUCAGCGUCACUCGUCGCUUCCUAGAAGCUGGGCCAGGGUGUCCGAGCAGCUUCCUGGGAGGACUCACUGUGGGAAGGUCUCGGAGCUGUUCCUCCAGCUUUGCUGAGCUCUGGGCUCUGCAGGCCCUGCUAGAGGAAGCCGAGCCCCACGGGGGCUUAGAGACCCGCCCGAGGCCACGCGUCCAGUGGAGGCACAGCCCGGACUCAGCCCCAGACUGUCCUGCAGUCUGUUUUUCCUAGGAUGCCUUUGCAGCUGUGAGCCUCGCUGUGGUCCCCGCCAGGCACGGGGCAUCGAGAUGGAAGAGAGAGGAGGAUGCGGGAGAGACGGCGGGGCUGCAGGACCCCAGGCAGGGCGGGGAGCCUCGGGCGCAGACCCCCAAGCCCACACCUGGCCCUCAGCCUGCAGGUUAGGGCAGGGGGACACUCAUGGCCCCCCAGAGUCCCGAGCUGAGAGUACAGAACGAACCAUCGGCUCUCUCUCUGCAGCCAGCUGCCUGCUCUCACUGACCUGCCCUGUAGGAGGGCCCAUCGCAGCCACUCCGGUGGUGCUGGGCCAGCCCUGCUCUGCGAUUCCGGCUGCAGCUGUGACAGACACACACGGGGGCCUCCCCGACCCACCGCCCCUUCCAACACACCCAGGAGAGAAGGCAGCGGCCCCUCCGAGCGGAGGGGUGGGAACCUGUCGCUUCUGCCCCAUCCGUUCAUCUCCAGCCGUGCACAUCCAGGCGAGAAGCCCACCCGAGCGCGCGGUCCCCUGCUGCAGGCCUCCCACCCAGUCCUCCACACUGUGGCCGCAAACCGGUUUUGACAGAGCCACCUGCUGACCAGAGCCCUCGGGGGCCCCCACCACCAGGGCUGGGGACCCCCACCACUGGGGUUGCCACCACCCCCCACCAACAAGGCAUUAUGUGCUCCAGGUCGCCCUCCAGCCUAGCCCUGGGCCUCCAGCAAUUCAGGUCGUUACUAGCCGGAGGCGCCCUUCAUCCUCCAGACCUUUGACCGUACCCUUCCUAGCCAACCUGUCUUCCAAAAGGCCUCCCCAGUCCCUCCCCCAGG